AGAGUGAAAGAGAUUUCCAUCUGUUGCAGUCACAAAAGAGUCGCCUCUGCUGGUGGGAACAUUUACAUGCUGCUGCAGAAGGAAGAAAACAGCACUCCUGACCUGCAGCAGGAUGUGGUGAGCUGUCUCUUCUACUGGGAGUAAGAGGAAACAGUUUGCAGAAGAAUGGUGGCCCUAAGAAGUGCAGAGUCAUUCAGAUGGCCUAGCGAUUGUGAUUUUGCUCCUUAUCCUCUUGACAACAAAUUCAUUUUUUCAAUACUACACAACACCUGGCAAAUGCAAAAGUAAGAAGAAAGAAAGAGAAAGAGAGAAUGAAAAAGAAAGAAAGGAAGGAAGGAAAAAGAAAGGAAGGAAGGAAGGAAGGAAGGAAGGAAGGAAAUCAAGACAAUGCAUGAUUGUGACAGCUCUCUUUUUAUCAUGACCACAAGAACUACAAAGGAUUACCAGUUACAGAAGUUUCUUAAAUUUUUGCAAAGGACUGGAGAUGCUAAUGAAGGAGUGUUGGAUCAGUUCCACUUGUCUGCAGGAGGCAGUGCCUGAAAUAUUUGAUACUGAAUCUGGGUUUAAAUACUUCUUCAGCCAUAAGGCAAAUGGGAUGACUUUGGGAGAACCACUCAGUUUAUCAAAGCCCUCUAAGGAUAACAAGGGGGUGAGGUUGUGCGCAUUACCCUGAGAUUCCUGGCAACCAAUGUUAAAAUAAAUGAUUACCGCUCCUUCCUCACCUUUUCGAGAAUGUUAUUCCGUGGAUUUAUUUAUGUACUUUUUAAAAAUCUUAAAUACAUCCAGGAACUGAAAUUAUCUGAGCAGAUUACAGGAGGAAUUAAAAUAUUAAAAAGUAGUGAACAAUAUCACAGUAAGAACUAUAUAACACAUUAAUAAGGUUUCCACUGGUGCAGCUGACUCUGUUAGCCAUGGGUGAUCAUAAUGAAAUACUGUGGCAUUGCCAUUUAUUGCAGGCCUUAAGUUUAUAUAUGUAUACACAGCCUUAAAUAAAAGUCCUGCAUGCCUUUCUUUUUCCUUUCAUUAUGAUUUUGUGUGUCUUUAUUUUGUUAUUCGAUUAAAGCUUAAAUAAAUAAAUAA